UUUUCCUACGGGGAAGCAGCAGUGGGGAAUUUUGGACAAUGGGCGCAAGCCUGAUCCAGCCAUGCCGCGUGCGGGAAGAAGGCCUUCGGGUUGUAAACCGCUUUUGUCAGGGAAGAAACGCUCUGGGCUAAUACCCUGGGGUAAUGACGGUACCUGAAGAAUAAGCACCGGCUAACUACGUGCCAGCAGCCGCGGUAAUACGUAGGGUGCAAGCGUUAAUCGGAAUUACUGGGCGUAAAGCGUGCGCAGGCGGUUAUGCAAGACAGAUGUGAAAUCCCCGGGCUCAACCUGGGAACUGCAUUUGUGACUGCAUGGCUAGAGUGCGGCAGAGGGGGAUGGAAUUCCGCGUGUAGCAGUGAAAUGCGUAGAUAUGCGGAGGAACACCGAUGGCGAAGGCAAUCCCCUGGGCCUGCACUGACGCUCAUGCACGAAAGCGUGGGGAGCAAACAGGAUUAGAUACCCUGGUAGUCCACGCCCUAAACGAUGUCAACUGGUUGUUGGGAGGGUUUCUUCUCAGUAACGAAGCUAACGCGCGAAGUGACCGCCUGGGA
rnacentral:rRNA from 1 species